rfam:Rattus norvegicus chromosome 17, whole genome shotgun sequence.
GGGGAUUUAGCUCAGUGGUAGAGCGCUUGUCUAGCAAUCACAAGGCCCUGGGUUCGGUCCCCAGCUCCG